GGCCUUGCCCACCAUCUUGUUGUCCGGCAUGGCCGCCCAGGUGUCGGCCAGCCCGAAGAGGAGGCCGUAGAGGAAGAGGUGGAGGCGGGACGGUUUCAUGUCGUCCGGGAUGACGAAGAGCGGGGCGGAGAAGAUGAGUCCCGUCCAGGUGCCCGGGUCGGAGCGGAGGUACAUCAGGAGGGUGGCGGCGCCGCCCAUGGACUCGCCGAAGAGGAAGGCCGGCAGGCCGGGCGACUCCCGGCGCACCGAGACGAAGAAGGACAAGGAUGCGCCCGCGACGGCCUCCAUGUCGCCGAGGUAGCAGCGGAUGCCGUCGGAUCGGCCGUGGCCAAGGAGGUCGGCGCAGUAAACGGCGUAGCCCCAGUUGGCGUAGGCGAUGGCGAUCUUCUGGAAGAGCCAGGCAGUGUCCGAGCCGUAGCCGUGACUCAUGAAGACGAGAGCCUUGA
rnacentral:lncRNA from 1 species